UACGAAGGGGACUAGCGUUGUUCGGAAUGACUGGGCGUAAAGCGUGUGUAGGUGGUUAGAUAAGUUAGAUGUGAAAUCCCCGGGCUUAACCUGGGCACUGCGUUUAAGACUGUUUAGCUAGAGUACUGUAGAGGAUAGUGGAAUUUCCAGUGUAGCGGUGAAAUGCGUAGAUAUUGGAAGGAACACCAGUGGCGAAGGCGACUAUCUGGACAGAUACUGACACUGAGACACGAAAGCGUGGGGAGCAAACAGG
rnacentral:rRNA from 1 species